GAUGAAGAACGUAGCAAAAUGCGAUAAGUAAUGUGAAUUGCAGAAUUCAGUGAAUCAUCGAAUCUUUGAACGCACAUUGCGCCCGCCAGUAUUCUGGCGGGCAUGCCUGUUCGAGCGUCAUUUCAACCCUCAAGCCCCCGGGUUUGGUGUUGGGGAUCGGGCUGUACCCCAGCCCGGCCCCGAAAUCUAGUGGCGGUCUCGCUGCAGCCUCCAUUGCGUAGUAGCUAACACCUCGCAACUGGAACGCGGCGCGGCCAAGCCGUUAAACCCCCAACUUCUGAAUGUUGACCUCGGAUCAGGUAGGAAUACCCGCUGAACUUAAGCAUAUCAAUAAGCGGAGGA
rnacentral:misc_RNA from 1 species